rnacentral:rRNA from 1 species
GAUGAACGCUGGCGGCGUGCUUAACACAUGCAAGUCGAACGAAGCACCUUGAUUUGAUUCUUCGGAUGAAGAUCCUGGUGACUGAGUGGCGGACGGGUGAGUAACGCGUGGGUAACCUGCCUCAUACAGGGGGAUAACAGUUAGAAAUGACUGCUAAUACCGCAUAAGACCACAGCACCGCAUGGUGCAGGGGUAAAAACUCCGGUGGUAUGAGAUGGACCCGCGUCUGAUUAGGUAGUUGGUGGGGUAACGGCCUACCAAGCCGACGAUCAGGAGCCGACCUGAGAGGGUGACCGGCCACAUUAGGACUGAGACACGGCCCAAACUCCUACGGGAGGCAGCAGUGGGGAAUAUUGCACAAUGGGGGAAACCCUGAUGCAGCGACGCCGCGUGAGCGAUGAAGUAUUUCGGUAUGUAAAGCUCUAUCAGCAGGGAAGAAAAUGACGGUACCUGACUAAGAAGCACCGGCUAAAUACGUGCCAGCAGCCGCAGUAAAAC